AGAGGGGGGAACAGGGGGGAACGUUCAGUCCGCCACACCCAUACCAAGGCCUGACUCUCCAGCCUGUACAGCAAGAGCAAGAGCAAGGAAGUAAACAGAGCAACGCUGCAGAAUCUGUCACGCCGCCCACGCCCACACAAUGCCCCCACGCCCACACAGUGCCCCCACGCCUCCACGCUCAUCCAGUGCCCCCACGCCUCCACGCCCAUCCAGUGCCCCCACGCCUCCACGCCCAUCCAGAGGAUGGCGGGGGCAGCAGUGAGGCGGUGGCCGGCGGAGGAGGAGAGAGACAGGCGGAGAAGAAUGUCAAGGUCCAUUUCAAUUCUUCCUUCAACGUUGCCAAGUACGGGGACGGCACUGACAUCAAGUGCUGCACCAGGCCAGCUUUCAUCCUAGUCAGCACAAGCUGUUAUGCCCACACUGACCACGGCCACUAUGUCCCCGCUGAGCUGAGUCUGCUGCGCUUCAGCCUAAGGAACGGAAUCAUGAAGUUGUUUCACUGUGUUGUUGCGCGUGAGUUGUGGCCUCGACUCAGUCCUGUGAAAAUGGGGGCUUCGUGGUGCAGUGGUUAGCACACUCGACUCACGACCGAGAGAGCCCGGGUUUGAUUCCCGGGCGGAGUGUAAAAUUUUGGGCGGCUUUUCCGAUACCCUACGCCCCUGUCCAUCAUCCAGCAGUGAAUGGGUACCAGCCAUCUUGCUGCCUUGGCCAGGAAGCACUCGCUGGAGACUCACAAGCUGCUGAGUGACUCGGAGGGCUUCGGGAACAGCCUUGAGGAAACUGCCAAGAAUCUGAAGCAGCUCUUGUCCAAGCCACACAACACCGCGCUGAAGGACGCCUCUGCACCCUGUUGUGUGUGCGGCUUCAUGUGUCAGAACCUGGACCACAGGAAACUGUGGAGCCUCAGAAGGGGAAGCACUAGGAGCUGUGGGUCUCUCCAGCCUGAGCCUUGAGGCCUCGGACAAAGCCUGUUGGCUCUUGGGGGGGUGCCGAUGGACGGGAAAGGUCGUGCAGGCCUGGACGACAAAACCGUGGGAGGAGGAGGAGGAAGACUUUCCCUCGCUUGGCUCUGAGCAGGCCAGGAAAGCGUGAAGAUGUCAGGUCGCAACGCGGUGGUCCAUUGGCGCACCUUCCAGAACGCCAACCAGGUGGUGGAGUUGACCACACGCACCAUUCCCAAGGCUCAACACCACCAGCGAGGACAUCAACACCAAUCAAC